AAUUGCAAGAAAACGCCCAAAAACCGCACUGAUGACACUCGGCCGCAACCUUGAAAUUUGAUGUAAAAACUCCAGAAGUGAUUUCUCCUUUGUCAACUGUUAACUCCAGCUCAAAAUUGAAUAGCCGCUUGAUCUCCAAAUCUUCUAUUACCAAGCCAAAAAUUACGUCGAUUCAACUAGUAGAUCUUCAGAUAUUACAGAAAUCCUAUCCAACCCUAGACUGCCAACUUCCGACAACCCUUUGUACUAAAACUCAGAUAUCUCUUGAUUGCAUUGUUAGAUUAACACAAAUUUUUGUAUACAUUUAGCACACCCAACUAUCCAGACAAUAUUAAAUUUUGACCCAUAGAUGCUACACGACUUGUACAAACCGAUUGACAAUGCAAACCAUCAAUGUUUUAUAUAAAAUCCGAAACACCAAAAUAAACACUGACUUUGAGCAGCGAUUGCUCUCCCC
rnacentral:lncRNA from 1 species